UUUAAUUAAUUAAUUAAUUAAUUUGAACAGAUCUAAUAUGGUGAUGGUUCCUGCUAAUUUCCUUCUUAGGAAUAGUUAUAGUGAGCACUCCAUUUUCCAUUGAUGACUUAACAUAAUCAGCCCUACUAUUUAGAGGUAGUGAAAAAGAUGUGAAGAAUUUUCCACUACUUCUUUCAUAAUGGUGCCAAUUAUCUUCUUUCUUCAUCAUUCUUGUUUCCCCAGUAAUUUUAAGUAUUUUUUCAUCCUCCACCUGUACUUUGACGUCUUCUUUCUUGUAACCAUGCAAGUUACACCUAAAGAUAUGUGACUCUGGUGUUUCCUUAUACUCGAUUUGCGCCAUCGUUGCAGGUACAUGGUGGAACGAUGGUGCUGGAGCUAUGAGGGAUCGAGGGUUUUCGAGAUAAAAUUCAUGGAAAGGAUCCCAUACAUCAUGAUGAGCAAAAGGAUCGUGCACUUGGUGCGCGUGUUGAGAAUAAGGAUCAUACACGGGGUGUGAAGGUCGAGAAUAAGGAUCAUGCACCUUGUGUGUCUUGUGAUCGGAGUAAGGAUCAUGCACCUUGUGUGUCUUGUGAUCGGAG
rnacentral:misc_RNA from 1 species